rnacentral:misc_RNA from 1 species
GAUGAAGAACGUAGCGAAAUGCGAUACGUAAUGUGAAUUGCAGAAUUCAGUGAAUCAUCGAAUCUUUGAACGCAUAUUGCGCUCUUUGGUAUUCCGAAGAGCAUGCUUGUUUGAGUAUCAGUAAACACCUCAACCUCUUCUUGAUUUUUCAAAAGGAGGGUGGCCUUGAGCUAUCCCAACAACCUUUACCGGUCGGCGGGCGGCUUGAAAUGCAGGUGCAGCUGGACUUUUAUCUGAGCUAAAAGCAUAUCUAUUUAGUCCUCGUCAAACAGGAUUAUUACUUUUGCUGCAGCUAACAUAAAGGAUAAUUGUCCUCUUUGCUGACUGAUGCAGGAUUUUACGACACUUUAUGUGUUGUUCAACUCGAUCUCAAAUCAAGUAAGACUACCCGCUGAACUUAAGCAUAUCAAUAAGCGGAGGA